ACGGAGGGUGCAAGCGUUAUUCGGAAUCACUGGGCGUAAAGGGCGUGCAGGCGGGAGAAUAAGUCUGAUGUGAAAGCCCGGGGCUUAACCCCAGAACGGCAUUGGAAACUGCUAUUCUUGAAUGUUGGAGAGGUAGAUGGAAUUUCUGGUGUAGGGGUAAAAUUCGUAGAGAUCAGGAGGAACAUCGAUGGCGAAGGCGAUCUACUGGACAACAACUGACGCUGAGCCGCGAAAGCGUGGGGAGCAAACAG
rnacentral:rRNA from 1 species